GCGCUGCUGGUGUAGUGGUAUUGUGGAAGAUUCUCAUUCUUUCGACCUGGGUUCGAUUCCCGGGCGAAGCA
rnacentral:tRNA from 1 species